rnacentral:tRNA from 1 species
AAUGGAGUGCCUGACAAAAGGGCUACCUUGAUAGGGUAGAAUAUGUAUUUUAUACCUUCAUUG